rnacentral:rRNA from 1 species
GUGGGGAAUUUUGGACAAUGGGCGAAAGCCUGAUCCAGCCAUGCCGCGUGCAGGAUGAAGGCCUUCGGGUUGUAAACUGCUUUUGUACGGAACGAAAAGCCUCUGGUUAAUACCCGGGGGUCAUGACGGUACCGUAUGAAUAAGCACCGGCUAACUACGUGCCAGCAGCCGCGGUAAUACGUAGGGUGCGAGCGUUAAUCGGAAUUACUGGGCGUAAAGCGUGCGCAGGCGGUGAUGUAAGACAGUUGUGAAAUCCCCGGGCUCAACCUGGGAACUGCAUCUGUGACUGCAUUGCUGGAGUGCGGCAGAGGGGGAUGGAAUUCCGCGUGUAGCAGUGAAAUGCGUAGAUAUGCGGAGGAACACCGAUGGCGAAGGCAAUCCCCUGGGCCUGCACUGACGCUCAUGCACGAAAGCGUGGGGAGCAAACAGGAUUAGAAACCCGGGUAGUCC